rnacentral:rRNA from 1 species
CAAGUCAAGGGGGCCCAGCAAUGGGCAACCGGCGAACGGGUGCGUAACACGUGAGCAACCUACCGAACUGUGGGGGAUAGCCGGCCUAACGGCCGAGUAAUACCGCAUACGCUUUCUAAAAGGCAUUUUUUGGAAAGGAAACCUACGGGACAGAUCGAGGGGCUCGCGGCCUAUCAGCUAGUUGGCGAGGUAACGGCUCACCAAGGCUACGACGGGUAGCUGGUCUGAGAGGAUGGCCAGCCACAUUGGGACUGAGAUACGGCCCAGACUCCUACGGGAGGCAGCAGUGGGGAAUCUUGCGCAAUGGCCUAACGGCUGACGCAGCGACGCCGCGUGUGGGAUGAAGCUCCUCGGAGUGUAAACCACUGUUGCCCGGGACGAACAGCUCGAUUCAUCGAGCCUGACGGUACCGGGUGAGGAAGCACCGGCUAACUCCGUGCCAGCAGCCGCGGUAAUACGGGGGGUGCGAGCGUUGUCCGGAAUCACUGGGCGUAAAGGGCGCGUAGGUGGUUUGAUAAGGGUGUGGUGAAAGCCCGGGGCUCAACCCCGGGUCUGCCGUGCCGACUGUCAAACUCGAGGGCUGUAGAGGCAGACGGAAUUCCGGGUGUAGCGGUGGAAUGCGUAGAGAUCCGGAGGAAGACCGGUGGCGAAGGCGGUCUGCUGGGCAGUUUCUGACACCGAUGCGCGACAGCGUGGGGAGCAAACAGGAUUAGAUACCCUGGUAGUCCACGCCGUAAACGAUGGGUACUAGGUGCCUGGGGGAGCGACCCUCUGGGUGCCGGCGCUAACGCAGGAAGUACCCCGCCUGGGGAGUACGACCGCAAGGUUGAAACUCAAAGGAAUUGACGGGGGCCCGCACAAGCGGUGGA